GAUGAACGCUAGCGGCAGGCUUAACACAUGCAAGUCGAGGGGCAGCAUGAGACGGAGAUUCGUCAAAGUCUUGAUGGCGACCGGCGCAAGGGUGCGUAACGCGUGAGCAACUUGCCCGUUUCUGGGGAAUAACCGGUGGAAACGCCGACUAAUACCCCAUAGUAUGCUUUUAAGGCAUCUUUUAAGCAUUAAAGAAUUUCGGAAACGGAUAGGCUCGCGUGACAUUAGCUAGAUGGCGGGGUAACGGCCCACCAUGGCGACGAUGUCUAGGGGUUCUGAGAGGAAGGUCCCCCACACUGGAACUGAGACACGGUCCAGACUCCUACGGGAGGCAGCAGUGAGGAAUAUUGGUCAAUGGUCUGACGACUGAACCAGCCAUGCCGCGUGAAGGUGACGGCCCUAUGGGUCUUAAACUUCUUUUGUUAGGGAGCAAUAAGGUGUACGUGUACAUCGAUGAGAGUACCUAACGAAUAAGCAUCGGCUAACUCCGUG
rnacentral:rRNA from 1 species